rnacentral:rRNA from 1 species
AACGAACGCUGGCGGCAUGCCUAACACAUGCAAGUCGAACGAAGCCUUCGGGCUUAGUGGCGCACGGGUGCGUAACGCGUGGGAAUCUACCCUGGGGUUCGGAAUAACACAGAGAAAUUUGUGCUAAUACCGGAUGAUAUCGAGAGAUCAAAGAUUUAUCGCCCUUGGAUGAGCCCGCGUAGGAUUAGCUUGUUGGUGGGGUAAUGGCCUACCAAGGCGACGAUCCUUAGCUGGUCUGAGAGGAUGAUCAGCCACACUGGGACUGAGACACGGCCCAGACUCCUACGGGAGGCAGCAGUGGGGAAUAUUGGACAAUGGGCGAAAGCCUGAUCCAGCAAUGCCGCGUGAGUGAUGAAGGCCUUAGGGUUGUAAAGCUCUUUUACCAGGGAUGAUAAUGACAGUACCUGGAGAAUAAGCUCCGGCUAACUCCGUGCCAGCCGCCGCUGUAA